UUGACCAGGCGCCUUGUUAAUUUUAGCACGUGUACCCUUCCCUUCUGCCGCUCCGUUAAAUGGGUUAGGAACACAAAUAAAUGUCCUAGUUGUGGCUACAUUAAUGGAGUUUGUAGAAAGAAGGCCAACUGAGAUGUCCGACACCUCCCUUGCUUUGUUUUAGCUCCUCACAGCUGCUCGCUGGAUGAAGGGGCGCGACCACACAUCAGCAGCGAGUCGAUGGGGAAUCAACACCUUUCAGGAAGAGAUGUGAACAAAAUCCUGCUGGUGUUUAAACGAAGGUCAAGUGGAACAAAACCGGCCCGAAUGGCAAAGGCAAGAAACACCUGGAUAUGUGAGGAAAAACCUUGAUUACAGUCAAUCCCUUAAGAAUAAAAAGCGAAUGUGGACUACCACACUGCAUGUAAUGGUCGUUGUAGGACAAUAAAUCAUCAUUCUGGUACAUGCAGUAUUUUACUCUAAGUUAUUAUAUUUCCACCUCUUUCCAGCUUGACACUCGUGACCUGAAAUUGCUCUGAGAGUCUGUAAAUUACAGUGGAAACACAGAAUGUUAUCAGAUAAAUCCAUUUUCUAGACUUUUCUUAAAAACAAUGACUACAUAAAAAAAUGCUACACUUUUGAAGUAACACAUGUGGACUCUAUAUUCUGAAAGAGAAUACAUCAAAUACAUUAAUAGAAGGAAAAAUACUAUAACUUUUGGAAUUUUUGACAUUAACAAGAAAUUUUUUCUUUCUUUUUUUUAUUUUUUAUACAAAGGUCUAAGCUCAUCACAGGCCAAGAAUUUUAUUUAUUUCACAAGCAUGGAGGUAAACCCUACAGGUGGUCAUGCCUGUCUGGCUUUGGUCAAGAUGCUAGGUUCACAACACCCUCAGUAAUGCACGUUCAAUUGACCACUUUCAAUGAAAGUUCUAUGUAAAUGUUCAUAUUUGCACAUUUUGAGGUUUCACUUUUGAAAAGCUACACAAGUUCCUAUGUACUCUAACUAAAAAACAAGAAUCCUUUUAAUUCACGGAAGACCCAACCAUUUUAAAUGAUCACAGAGGACAAAUUAAUAAUUGCGGUUUGUGCUCAGACAGAAUUGUAAGACAUCAAUUCUUUCAUAUUUUGGAAAGAAAAAGAAGAGAAAGCCUGGAGCAAAAAUCGUGAGAUUUGCAUCAAUUUGACAUUUCACACCAAGCUUCUUCUAGCUGUGGAUGACAGACAUGCACUAGUAAACAGGGUAAAAAAAAAAAAAAA